AAUCAACGCUGGCGGCGCGCUUAACACAUGCAAGUCGAACGAGAAAGUGGAGCAAUCCAUGAGUAAAGUGGCGCACGGGUGAGUAACACGUGGGUAAUUUACCUCCUUGUGGGGAAUAACCCUGGGAAACCGGGGCUAAUACCGCAUACUUCCGAGAGGAGAAAGCCGAAAGGCGCAGGGAGAGAAGCCCGCGGCCGAUUAGCUAGUUGGUAGGGUAAUGGCCUACCAAGGCGACGAUCGGUAGCCGGCCUGAGAGGGCACACGGCCACACUGGCACUGAAACACGGGCCAGACUCCUACGGGAGGCAGCAGUGGGGAAUCUUGCACAAUGGGGGAAACCCUGAUGCAGCGACGCCGCGUGAACGAUGAAGCCCUUCGGAUUGUAAAAGUCCUUUUCGGCGGGGACGAUGAUGACGGUACCCGCAGAAGAAGCCCCGGCUAACUUCGUGCCAGCAGCCGCGGUAAU
rnacentral:rRNA from 1 species